CUAAAUCUAGAAAAAAAAAAAAAAAACAAAACAAAACAACUUAAACUUUGUCGAAUUUCAAUGCAUGGACAAGAUAAAAAAAAAGAUUAUUCAUGUAAUAUUUUCACCAAGAGUAAUAAGUGCUGCAGCCCUUGAAGAGAAAAAGAGAAGAAGACAAUGGCUUUGGUUGAUGUUAUCAUUUCUUGCACCGAUUCCCUCAAACAGAUAUCAGAGCAUGUGAAGAUGCUAUUGUUUAUUUAGAUGCUGGUUCUACAGAGUUUUUCCAGUUUAUAGGGGCAUAUCCUAUACUUGUUGAUCUUGGAGCACAAGCUAUCUGCAAUUUGGAAAGUAUGUCAGUACUUGAUGCGGCAGCUCACUCGGUGUUUCCGGAUUCACCUCUGGACCAGAUGCCUAUCAUGAAUAUGAAUCCUUAUUGGUUGAUGUUCCUCAUAUUGAAGCUAGUUCUAGUGGAAGAGAUACUGAAGAUGCAGUGUUUAAAUUAGAUGCUUCUGUUCAUCAUUUUCCAAUGAUUUUAUGUCCCUUGUCAUCUGAGCAUGAGGAUUCCAUUGGUCCUGGUUUUCCUCCCUUUGUAUGCUUUUUGAUACAGAUGAUGUGCAAUGCCUCCAGGUGCAACUCUCACAGCACACUUUCUCUACCUACCUCUGGUGACUUGAUUUCUGCAUUUCUUUUUCUAUUCACUGGAUUCUUAUAUUAUAUGCUUCACACAGCACUACUAAGUGUGUGUUUGGAUUAUAGUUUGCAAACGGGAGUUUGUAUAAAAGUGAUUUUGCAAACUUGAUUUUGAUGAAAAGUAA